UACGUAGGGUCCGAGCGUUGUCCGGAAUUAUUGGGCGUAAAGAGUUCGUAGGCGGUUUGUCGCGUCGUUCGUGAAAACUUGGGGCUUAACUCCAAGCGUGCGGGCGAUACGGGCAGACUUGAGUACUGCAGGGGAGACUGGAAUUCCUGGUGUAGCGGUGGAAUGCGCAGAUAUCAGGAGGAACACCGGUGGCGAAGGCGGGUCUCUGGGCAGUAACUGACGCUGAGGAGCGAAAAGCGUGGGGGAGCGAACAGG
rnacentral:rRNA from 1 species